UCCUGUUCUAUGUCAAUCAAUCCCCACUUGAAUGUGUGAGGUCGUCCUGUUCUAUGUGAAUCAAUCCCCAGUUGAAUGUGUGAGGUCGUCCUUUUCUAUGUGAAUCAAUCCCCAGUUGAAUGUGU